GAUGAACGCUGGCGGCGUGCCUAAUACAUGCAAGUCGAGCGAAUGGAUUAAGAGCUUGCUCUUAUGAAGUUAGCGGCGGACGGGUGAGUAACACGUGGGUAACCUGCCCAUAAGACUGGGAUAACUCCGGGAAACCGGGGCUAAUACCGGAUAACAUUUUGAACCGCAUGGUUCGAAAUUGAAAGGCGGCUUCGGCUGUCCCUUAUGGAUGGACCCGCGUCGCAUUAGCUAGUUGGUGAGGUAACGGCUCACCAAGGCACCGAUGCGUAGCCGACCUGGGAGGGUGAUCGGCCACACUGGGACGGAGACACGGCCCAGACUCCUACGGGAGGCAGCAGUAGGGAAUCUUCCGCAAUGGACGAAAGUCUGACGGAGCAACGCCGCGUGAGUGAUGAAGGCUUUCGGGUCGUAAAACUCUGUUGUUAGGGAAGAACAAGUGCUAGUUGAAUAAGCUGGCACCUUGACGGUACCUAACCAGAAAGCCACGGCUAACUACGUGCCAGCAGCCGCAGUAA
rnacentral:rRNA from 1 species